rnacentral:rRNA from 1 species
CCUACGGGAGGCAGCAGUGAGGAAUAUUGGUCAAUGGACGAGAGUCUGAACCAGCCAAGUAGCGUGAAGGAUGACUGUCCUAUGGGUUGUAAACUUCUUUUAUCUGGGAAUAAAACACGCCACGCGUGGCGUUUCGUAUGUACCAUAUGAAAAAGCAUCGGCUAACUCCGUGCCAGCAGCCGCGGUAAUACGGAGGAUCCGAGCGUUAUCCGGAUUUAUUGGGUUUAAAGGGUGCGCAGGCGGAAGAUUAAGUCAGCGGUAAAAUUGCGAGGCUCAACCUCGUCGAGCCGUUGAAACUGGUUGGCUUGAGUGAGCGAGAAGUACGCGGAAUGCGUGGUGUAGCGGUGAAAUGCAUAGAUAUCACGCAGAACUCCGAUUGCGAAGGCAGCAUACCGGCGCUCAACUGACGCUGAUGCACGAAAGUGUGGGUAUCGAACAGGAUUAGAUACCCGAGUAGUC